rnacentral:rRNA from 1 species
UACGUAGGGGGCAAGCGUUGUCCGGAAUCAUUGGGCGUAAAGCGCGUGUAGGCGGCUAGGUAAGUCUGCUCUGAAAGCCCGGGGCUCAACCCCGGGAGGCGGGUGGAUACUGUCUAGCUCGAGUCCGGAAGAGGAGUGUGGAAUUCCUGGUGUAGCGGUGAAAUGCGCAGAUAUCAGGAGGAACACCAAUGGCGAAGGCAGCUCGCUGGGACGGUACUGACGCUGAGACGCGAAAGCGUGGGGAGCAAACAGG